rnacentral:rRNA from 1 species
GGCCGCGGGAUUAGAGUUUGAUCCUGGCUCAGGACGAACGCUGGCGGCGUGCUUAACACAUGCAAGUCGAACGAGGUCCAACCUUCGGGUGAAGACCUAGUGGCGAACGGGUGCGUAACACGUGAGGAACUUGUCCCGGUCUCUGGGAUAACAGUUGGAAACGACUGCUAAUACCGGAUGACGUCGGAGCGUCGCAUGGCGCGCUGACGAAAGGGUUACUGGAUCGGGAGAGCCUCGCGGCCUAUCAGCUUGUUGGUGGGGUAACGGCCUACCAAGGCAUCGACGGGUAGCUGGUCUGAGAGGAUGAUCAGCCACACUGGGACUGAGACACGGCCCAGACUCCUACGGGAGGCAGCAGUGGGGAAUCUUGCGCAAUGGGCGAAAGCCUGACGCAGCAACGCCGCGUGCGGGAAGAAGGCUCUCGGGUUGUAAACCGCUUUCAGAAGGAACGAAACUGACGGUACUUUCAGAAGAAGGUGCGGCCAACUACGUGCCAGCAGCCGCGGUGACACGUAGGCACCAAGCGUUGUCCGGAUUUAUUGGGCGUAAAGAGCUCGUAGGCGGUUCAGUAAGUCAGGUGUGAAAUCUUUGGGCUUAACCCAAAGCGUGCAUUUGAUACUGCUGUGACUUGAGUUCGGUAGGGGAGCGGGGAAUUCCUAGUGUAGCGGUGAAAUGCGCAGAUAUUAGGAGGAACACCGGUGGCGAAGGCGCCGCUCUGGGCCGAAACUGACGCUGAGGAGCGAAAGCGUGUGUAGCAAACAGGAUUAGAUACCCUGGUAGUCCA